GACGAACGCUGGCGGCGUGCUUAACACAUGCAAGUCGAACGGAAAGGCCCUGCUUUUGUGGUGUGCUCGAGUGGCGAACGGGUGAGUAACACGUGAGUAACCUGCCCUUGACUUUGGGAUAACUUCAUGAAACUGGGGCUAAUACCGGAUAGGAGCUCCUGCUGCAUGUUGGGGGUUGGAAAGUUUCGGCGGUUGGGGAUGGACUCGCGGCUUAUCAGCUUGUUGGUGGGGUAGUGGCUUACCAAGGCUUUGACGGGUAGCCGGCCUGAGAGGGUGACCGGCCACAUUGGGACUGAGAUACGGCCCAGACUCCUACGGGAGGCAGCAGUGGGGAAUAUUGCACAAUGGGCGGAAGCCUGAUGCAGCAACGCCGCGUGCGGGAUGACGGCCUUCGGGUUGUAAACCGCUUUCGCCUGUGACGAAGCGUGAGUGACGGUAAUGGGUAAAGAAGCACCGGCUAACUACGUG
rnacentral:rRNA from 1 species